rnacentral:rRNA from 1 species
GAGCCAGACUCCUACGGGAGGCAGCAGUGGGGAAUAUUGCACAAUGGGGGAAGCCCUGAUGCAGCGACGCCGCGUGAGCGAUGAAGUCUUUCGGUAUGUAAAGCUCUAUCAGCAGGGAAGAAAAUGACGGUACCUGACUAAGAAGCCCCGGCUAACUACGUGCCAGCAGCCGCGGUAAUACGUAGGGGGCAAGCGUUAUCCGGAUUCACUGGGUGUAAAGGGAGCGUAGACGGCGACGCAAGUCUGGAGUGAAAGCCCGGGGCCCAACCCCGGGACUGCUCUGGAAACUGCGGCGCUGGAGUACGGGAGGGGCAGGCGGAAUUCCUGGUGUAGCGGUGAAAUGCGUAGAUAUCAGGAGGAACACCGGCGGCGAAGGCGGCCUGCUGGACCGUGACUGACGUUGAGGCUCGAGAGCGUGGGGAGCAAACAGGAUUGGAUACCCCCGUACU